rnacentral:rRNA from 1 species
GACGAACGCUGGCGGCGUGCUUAACACAUGCAAGUCGAACGGAAAGGCCCUGCUUUUGUGGGGUGCUCGAGUGGCGAACGGGUGAGUAACACGUGAGUAACCUGCCCUUGACUUUGGGAUAACUUCAGGAAACUGGGGCUAAUACCGGAUAGGAGCUCCUGCUGCAUGGUGGGGGUUGGAAAGUUUCGGCGGUUGGGGAUGGACUCGCGGCUUAUCAGCUUGUUGGUGGGGUAGUGGCUUACCAAGGCUUUGACGGGUAGCCGGGCUGAGAGGGUGACCGGACACAUUGGGACUGAGAUACGGCCCAGACUCCUACGGGAGGCAGCAGUGGGGAAUAUUGCACAAGGGGCGGAAGCCUGAUGCAGCAACGCCGCGUGCGGGAUGACGGCAUUCGGGUAGUAAACCGCUUUCGCCUGUGACGAAGCGUGAGUGACGGUAAUGGGUAAAGAAGCACCGGCUAACUACGUG